AAAAAAAAAUAAUAAUAAUAAUAAUAAUAUUGAUCAGGGAAGGAAGGCUGUCUUUUUAUAGACAAUCGAUGUAUAUAACUAAAAGGACACCACCAUCCCUCCUCCUCACAGCUCCUAUCAAUGCCUCCACAGAGUUCCAACAUCACUGCUUCAAGUCUCUUCUGUCUUCCCUCUUGUUUCUGAAGCUAGCUCUUAGAUAGACUUCUCAGGAUGAGGUCUUCUUCCACAGUGGCCUUCGUCCUCUUGCUACUACUGCUGCUAUCCACAGCUCACGGGAUCCACUCGGAGAGGCAAAACCACAGAGGCUCUAACCACAAACUCCCUGAAAAGAAGGUUUCCAUGACAAGAAGAGGAACCGGUGCUGCACUGAUUCCGUGCAGAGAAAAUGGGCAUUGCUCUGAUACAGAUAAUGCAGGAGGAGCCGAUCAAAGGAUACCUAGAAUUCAUGAAGAUUACUAUGGGCCUGGAGAUCACAAGUCUAAGCAUCAUUAGAUUUUUCCUCCACGUUUUCCCCCUUUUUUUCUUUUCCUUUUUCUUUUUUUGGAGGGGUAGCUGCUGAGGACUAACUACAAAAGAGAUUUUUUGUAUUACUUUUGACACAUUUUAAGUUAAAUCUAGAUCUGCUCAACUUCUCUCAGAUGAAAGCUUCUAUUUUUUUUCUCUCUCUUGUCUUGUAAAGAUCCAUGAUAAGCCAAACAGCAGAUGAAAAUUUCUUGGAGUUACUCUCACAUACAUAAUCAACAUAAUAAUAUGCAGGUUUGAUCACAAAACAACAGCUAGAAACCUUCUCUUCCUCGAUGAUGCCUGUCACAGAAGGCACAAGACAAGCUUUAACUGAGUGGGACAUGGAGAUCAAGUAGACAUAGAUGGAACUGUGGAAAGUCUCCGGCAAAAGAGCAACAUUAGUCAAAGAUAAUUACUCAGAGAAAGCAGGACUGAGACUCUCUCUCCAUCGACUGCACACAUUACACAUGCACAGCAUGAACAAGUUUAAGACAGGGUUGCAGGAAAUGCUCCAGGUUUCUAGCUUCGCACA